rnacentral:rRNA from 1 species
UGCACUCCAGGCGUCGAGCGGCGGACGGGUGAGUAACGCGUGAGAAUCUGCCCAUUAGUGGGGGAUAACCCGGGGAAACUCGGGCUAAUACCGCAUACGUCCUACGGGACAAAGCAGGGGACCUUUUGGCCUUGCGCUGAUGGAUGAGCUCGCGUCGGAUUAGCUUGUUGGUGAGGUAAAGGCUCACCAAGGCGACGAUCCGUAGCUGGUCUGAGAGGAUGAUCAGCCACACCGGGACUGAGACACGGCCCGGACUCCUACGGGAGGCAGCAGUGGGGAAUCUUGGACAAUGGGGGCAACCCUGAUCCAGCCAUGCCGCGUGUGUGAAGAAGGCCUUCGGGUUGUAAAGCACUUUCAGCAGGGAGGAAGGCUUUGGGUUAAUACCCUGGAGUACUUGACGUUACCUGCAGAAGAAGCACCGGCUAAUUUCGUGCCAGCAGCCGCGGUAAUACGAAAGGUGCAAGCGUUAAUCGGAAUUACUGGGCGUAAAGCGCGCGUAGGCGGUGUGUUAAGUCGGAUGUGAAAGCCCAGGGCUCAACCUUGGAAUUGCAUCCGAUACUGGCACGCUAGAGUGCAGUAGAGGGAGGUGGAAUUUCCGGUGUAGCGGUGAAAUGCGUAGAGAUCGGAAGGAACACCAGUGGCGAUGGCGGCCUCCUGGACUGACACUGACGCUGAGGUGCGAAAGCGUGGGGGAGC